CUGAUGCGGGAUGAGUCAGGCUGUGGGAUGUUGCUGCCAUUUCAUCAGCACAAUUCCCAAACAAUCCGUGCAGCUCGUGAGCGCUGAUCACCAGGCGUUGUCUGAGUGUGUGAACUGAUGAGAAGUGUGGUGGGAGUCUCUGAGGGAACAGCAGGGGGUCGCAGAGACACGCUGCCUGAGCUGCUGCUGCUGCUGCUGUUUACUGAGGGUUGGUGGUGCUGGUGGUGCUGAUGGUGAUGGUUGUGCUGUAAAUAGGAAGCGGAGUGGGCAGGCUGGAGCAGGUGUGUGUCUGGCCGCGGGUUUCCUGUAAAGUCCUCCUCCCUUUAGGAGCAUGGAGUCCUGUUUCUGCAUCUGCUGAGACCUGAGCAGCCCAGCAUCACACAAGCCGCACAGCUAUGGAGGCGAUAUGGCUUUACCAGUUUCGUCUGAUUGUAAUCGGAGACUCCACUGUUGGUAAAUCGUGUUUGAUCAGGCGCUUUACUGAGGGACGAUUUGCCCAGGUCUCAGACCCCACAGUUGGUGUGGACUUCUUCUCUCGCCUGGUCGAGAUCGAGCCAGGAAAACGCAUCAAACUCCAGAUUUGGGACACUGCGGGUCAGGAGCGCUUCAGGUCCAUCACGAGAGCGUACUACCGCAACUCCGUGGGUGGCCUUCUGCUCUUCGACAUCACAAACCGCCGCUCUUUCCAGAACGUGCACGAGUGGCUGGAGGAGGCGCGCAGUCAUGUGCAGCCGCACAGCAUCGUCUUCCUCCUGGUGGGCCACAAGUGUGACCUGGAGGCGCAGCGGCAGGUGACGAGACAGGAGGCGGAGAAGCUGGCGGCGGCGUAUGGCAUGCGCUACGUGGAGACUUCGGCACGGGAUGCCAUCAACGUGGAGAGGGCCUUCACGGAGCUGACGCGGGAUAUCUUUGAGCUGGUGAAGCACGGCGAGAUCACCAUCCAGGAGGACUGGGAGGGGGUCAGGAGCGGAUUUGUGCCCAAUGUGGUUCACUCGUCUGAGGAGGUGACCAAGAGCGAGCGCCGGUGCUUCUGCUGAUCCAUCUAAAAAAACGCUCUCAUGAACCUGAACCUGAGGUCUUCAGGAUCGUUACAAUCACAGGGCACUCUGUAGCCCCUCAGAUAUGACAUAGCCCCUUUGCCUGCCUGCUGAAUGCUUCCUAAACCUGCCCAGCCCUUCUGGUCCUCCACUGUUCCACAGAGUUACUGCCCAUUAAAAACUGAAUUAAAGGAAAACGGCCACAGCACACUGACCCAACAACCAUCGACUUUCUAAUGCUGAUAAACCUGAUAAACCAAAUUUGAACCCAUAUGAAUUUUGUAUGUGUGUGCGUGUAUGUAGAACAGUGUAAUUAAGCAGGGAGAACAAUCAAGGAUGAUGUGAAUGAAGGUGAGCGUUCCUGAACUGUGUGAAUAGGCUGAAUGUAUGUUCUGCAACAGUGUGCAUGAGAAAGAACAUUCUAGAACAGUGUGAAUGACAAGGGAGUGAGUAUCUACAACAGGGUUGACUGGAAAGAACAUUUUAAACAGUGUAAAUGAAGGUGAAUCUUCUAGAACAUCUUCUAGAUUGAGAAUAUUCUCAAGCAAUGUGUGAAUGAGAAACAUCCUUAAACAGCAUUAAAGGUAGAAAACAUUCUAGAGCAUUCUGAAGCUAUUUAAACAAAUCAGAACAUUCUAAAAUAACAUGGAUAAUGGGUAAUAUUCUAAAAUAAUGUUAAUUAAAAACAUUCUUAAACAGUCCAAAAGGCAAAGAAAGGUCUAGAACUGUGGGAAAAUUUGCAAAGCAAAGUGUAAAUUGGGAGAAUGUUUUAGAAAUGUGUAAGAGAAGGAAUACAUACUCCAACUGAAUGAAUGGAUUCUAGAGCCAUGCCAAUGAUUAGGGGUUUCUAGUACAGUAAAUGCAGAGAGAAAAUGUUGUAGAUGGAUGAAAGGGAACACAUUCUAAUCAAAGUUCAAAAUUAAGGAGAAUAUGGUUAAACUGUGUAAACAGGGCAGGAUAUGUUAGAACAGAGUGAAUGAGUGAACAUCAGUGUGAACAGAGAGGUGGUCUAGAAUAGUGCAGAUAGAGGGGAAGUAGUACACUGUGAUCUGUGGGAUGGAAUAGAACAAUGUUCUAGAAUACUGUGAAUAAGACAGUAGACUAGUCUUUUAUAAUUAGAAUGAGGUGAAUAGUGAGAAUGAGUUGGCAGCAUGUUCUAGAAUAGUGAGAAUGAGUUAACAGAAUGUUCUAGAAUAGUGAGAAUGAGGUGACAGAAUGUUCUAGAAUAGUGAGAAUGAGUUGACAGAAUGUUCUAGAAUAGUGAGAAUGAGAUGACAGAAUGUUCUAGAAUAGUGAGAAUGAGUUAACAGAAUGUUCUAGAUUAGUGAGAAUGAGGCGACAAUGUUCUAGAAUAAUGAGAAUGAGUUGACAGAAUGUUCUAGAAUAAUGAGAAUGAGUUAACAGAAUGUACUAGAAUAGUGAGAAUGAGUUAACAGAAUGUUCUAGAAUAGUGAGAAUGAGUUGACAGAAUGUUCUAGAAUAGUGAGAAUGAGAUGACAGAAUGCUUUAGAAUAGUGAGAAUGAGUUAACAGAAUGUUCUAGAAUAGUGAGAAUGAGUUAACAGAAUGUUCUAGAAUAGUGAGAAUGAGUUGGCAGCAUGUUCUAGAAUAGUGAGAAUGAGUUAACAGAAUGUUCUAGAAUAGUGAGAAUGAGGUGAUAAUGUUCUAGAAUAGUGAGAAUGAGUUGGCAGGAUGUUCUAGAAUAAUGAGAAUGAGUUGACAGAAUGUUCUAGAGUAGUGAGAAUGAGAUGACAGAAUGUUCUAAAACAGUGUGAAUGGUGGAAUUAGUAAUUUCUAGAAUGGUGUGAAUGAGGUGGAUGUUCUAGAACAGUUUGAAUAAACUGGGAGAUGUUCUAGAAGAAUGUAAAUUAAGGGUAUGUUCUAGAAUGAGCUGAAUGAGCUAGUAGAAUGUUCUUGAAUAGCGUGAAUGGAAGAAAACAUUCCAGAACCAUGUGACUGGAACAUGGUAGCCAAGCGUCUGGGCUUGUUGGGUCGAUGUGCUCUGGCUCUUGUCUACCGACCAAUGAAAAAGAAGGGUUAUUUCCCCCUGAAUGGCCAAUCGGGGCCUUAUGUUCAGCACCUUAUCCCUAAGGACCCCAAAGUAUACACCUGUCAAUCACUUAAAAGCCAUGAGAUGUUUCCCAUGAGACUGGAUCUGCUGAAAGCACUCUCGACGAGACCUGAUGCAGUUGUUUUUUUGAUGACUUUUAAGUGAUGACUGUGAAAAGAACUGCUGUUUGGUGCACAGAAUGCUAAAAGACUUCUAUCUCUGGGUUGGGUUGUGUAUGCAUACAUGUCAAGGCUUUGACUAUGGAUACAAUGUGAGUUGGAAGGGUGUAUUGCAGUAUAGUGCAUUAUACCUAAUUCCACAACGAUGGAGAUCUUGCUUGUUUUUAGACCAUAUCAAAUGAUUUGAGGAUAUGCUGAGUCACUGAAUGUGAGCAUAAACUGUAAUCUGAAGUAUGGACACUGAUUAAGAUACGAAACCGAAUUGUGCUUCUUACCAAAGGGAUUUAUUUAAGAAAUGAGACUUUGAAGGACAAUGGAUAUGAGGUGCGAUGUUCUAUGACACUAAAACACAACAGAUCUUUAGUGCUGUCUGUGUCUUCAUACAAAAGCUAAGCAUUAUUACACCAUAACUUGUGGACUUCCUGAAGUGUUUUCAGAUAUUACAGCUAGGGAUUGUACCAACACACCGUUAAACCCCCAGUUAUAAGACCCACUUCCAAUCCAUGCCCUGCAUUCAGUUGGUCACUUAAUUGAUAAUCUGUAUGACCUACUGUAAAGCAUAUUUACUUUCUGCUACCUGCUUCUCACUGUCUUUUUCCUACUUAAUCCACAAUUAAGUCAUCACACACUGCCCCACCCAGCAGACCAAACCAGACCGGACUGGACUGGAAUACAUGUUGCUGAAUGAAGUGAAUGUCUGUUUUUCUUGGGGCUGCACAGUAAACUUGCAUGUUAAUUCUUGCCCAAAAUAUUGGCCUCUGCAGUAGAAGAGUAAGUGAUACACUACAUUGCCAAAAGUAUUCACUUGUAUGCCUUAGUAUACAUUUUUCAUUGCUGUCCAAUGAAAAACACCUAUCUACCUAAAAAACCUUGUAAACUUUUAACGAAAGUCAAUGCAAAAAGAGCUUAUUUCAGGUAAUUAUGAAGAGUUUCUAUUGGUCCGUUCAUCAAGAAAUUUUGUUUUUCAUUGGACAGCAUUGAUAAGUCCUAUAAAACAACCCCACACUAUAACCCCCCCUUCAAACUUUACAACUGGCACAAUGCAAACAAGUAUCGCUCUACUGGCAACCGCAAAACCCAGACUCGACUGCCGGGUUGCCAAACAGAGAAGUGUAAUUGCAUUCAACACUUUGCAUUAUGCUUGGUAAUGUAAGGCUUGGAUGCAGCUGCUCAGUCAGGAUAACCGAUGCUAUGAAGCUCCCUACACUCUACUGUUCUUGAGAUAAUCUGAAGUCCACAUGAAGAUUUGAGGUUUAGAACAAUUGACUGCUGAAAUUUGGCAACCUCUACUCACUAAAUGCCUCCACUGACUCUGCUUUGUCACUUUAGAUGGAUUAUAACUUCAUGGCUAUGUUGCUGUCCAAAUUUCCAAUUUGUUAUAUUAUCACUGACAGUUAACUGUGGAGUAUUUGGUAGUAAGGAAAUUUCCUAUCACAGUACCACGCUGAAGUUCACUGAGCUCCUGAGAGCGACCCAUUCUUUCACUAAUGUUUGUAGAAGCAGUUUGCAUGCCUAGUUAGUAAUUUGGAUGGGUGAGUGAAUACAUCUGGAUAUUGUGCAGCCAGUCAUAUCACUUAAUUCAAUCCUGUCAUUAAUUAAAGCCUGGCUCUUAGUGGUGGGGCACAUUUUGGUUUGGGCUUUUUUCUUUGGUUUACAUUUUCAUUCUCUUGAGCCCACAGUCACAGAUGGUGGACAUGAGCUCAUGAAGAGUGAACUACUGAUAACCGCACCUGUACAUGAACAGUUGUGACACUCUGUACCUCUAUCAAAAGAACUUGAACUGUAGUAAAGAUUAAAAUACCAUGACAUGA